UAUGUGAUCGUCUCUUCGCAUAUCAAUAAGCGGAGGAAAAGAAACUAACAAGGAUUCCCCUAGUAACGGCGAGUGAAGCGGGAAGAGCUCAAAUUUGAAAUCUUAAAGGGUUUCCCUUUACGAAUUGUAGUUUAAGGAAGUGUUUUCUGUUGAGGUUUUGGUAAAAGUUCUUUGGAAUAGGACAUCAUAGAGGGUGAGAAUCCCGUAUUUGACCUUUACUUUCAACUUUGUGAUACACUUUCAAAGAGUCGGAUUGUUUGGGAAUGCAGUCCAAAAUGGGUGGUAAAUUUCAUCUAAAGCUAAAUAUUGGCGAGAGACCGAUAGCGAACAAGUACCGUGAGGGAAAGAUGAAAAGAACUUUGAAAAGAGAGUUAAACAGUACGUGAAAUUGUCAAAAGGGAAGCGUUUGACACCAGUGUUGUUUUUUCUGAAAAUCAAUUAAAGAACUGUUUAUGCUAAGUUGUUUAGACUUUAUCAGCUAACUGUUUAGCUUUUGAGCUUUUCUUUAAUGCACUUUUCAGUUAACAAGUCAACAGUCAAUUUCUUUUGCUGUAAAAAAGCUUGAGGAAGGUGGCUUGAGAUUCGUCUUAAGUGUUUAUAGCCUCUUGCCUAAUGCAGUCGGAGAAAUUGAGGUCUGCAGCGUAGAUCCUUCGGGGCUAAAUGCAUUUGUGCUAAGUUAUAGCAUUUUAUAGACAACUUGUUGACUAUGAUUUGUCUUGUAGCUUACUCGCUUAUGUUAUUUUACCUACGCUUAGGAUGUUGAACGCGCACAGAGUCUC
rnacentral:rRNA from 1 species